GACGAACGCUGGCGGCGUGCUUAACACAUGCAAGUCGAACGGAAAGGCCCUGCUUUUGUGGGGUGCUCGAGUGGCGAACGGGUGAGUAACACGUGAGUAACCUGCCCUUGACUUUGUGAUAACUUCAGGAAACUGGGGCUAAUACCGGAUAGGAGCUCCUGCUGCAUGGUGGGGGUUGGAAAGUUUCGGCGGUUGGGGAUGGACUCGCGGCUUAUCAGCUUGUUGGUGGGGUAGUGGCUUACCAAGGCUUUGACGGGUAGCCGGCCUGAGAGGGUGACCGGCCACAUUGGGACUGAGAUACGGCCCAGACUCCUACGGGAGGCAGCAGUGGGGAAUAUUGCACAAUGGGCGGAAGCCUGAUGCAGCAACGCCGCGUGCGGGAUGACGGCCUUCGGGGUGUAAACCGCUUUCGCCUGUGACGAAGCGUGAGUGACGGUAAUGGGUAAAGAAGCACCGGCUAACUACGUG
rnacentral:rRNA from 1 species